GGAGAGAGUCUGAGCCUAAAAUAAAAGAGAGUGGAAGUGAGGAAAAGAGCUUCUGGGGCUGAAGGCGGAGGCCAGGAUCAAAGGAAGCAAAGAGGAGUCUCUGGUUCAGAGGGAAGUGGGAACAUAUGGAGGAGAAAGAGAAGACUUGGUAAUGUGUUGACAGAGGACACUUGGAUAUUGGGAGAAAAGGUGUGACUGGGAGCUCAUAGGGAAAUGUUUGAGAAAAGGAUGGAGGAUGGGCUAGAAGGAUUUAGUCUGACACUAAAUGGGGUCUAUGAGAUGGAGAAUUGCAGCAGGAUAAAGGGUAGAUUUUGAGAGUUGUGGAAGAAGGUGCAGACUGAAGUGGGCAAAAUUUCUGAAAGAGGAGCCUGAAGAAUGAAGGGCUCCCAAGUGACAAAAGCAAGAGAGGAGAUAAGAAAGAAGUGAGAAAAAACAUAAGAAGCCACGUGCCAUAAUGGUGAUUGUGUUUGUUGAUCUCUGCCAUCCCGAGAUCAUCACUCCUAGCCUCCUCUGGAAACUCUCUGAGAGUUGGGGAAUUGUCUCUUUUAUAAGAGGCCUACACAGGCACGAGGUCAUACUUGGGCAGUUUUCGGCUUUGUGAAAAUCUCUCAGAUUGCACCGCACAGUAUACAACUGAUGAACCAGACAACCACAAUCGUUCUUUGGAUUGCAUUUUCUCCUGAGAUAUCAGACGCAUUUCACCAGGGCCACAGAAAGAAAAAUGAAGACCAAGAUACCGUGACAAAUGCCAACUACCUCAU
rnacentral:lncRNA from 1 species